rnacentral:tRNA from 1 species
GGGGUCGUAGCUCAGUUUGGUUAGAGCGCCUGCCUGUCACGCAGGAGGUCGCGAGUUCGAGUCUCGUCGGCCCCGCCA